rnacentral:rRNA from 1 species
UACGUACAAGCAGUAGGAGCAGGCUUUGUCCUGUGACUGCGUACCUUUUGUAUAAUGGGUCAGCGACUUAUAUUCAGUGGCAAGGUUAACCAUCUAGGGGAGCCGUAGGGAAACCGAGUCUUAACUGGGCGUUCAGUCUCUGGAUAUAGACCCGAAACCAGGUGAUCUAGCCAUGGGCAGGUUGAAGGUUGAGUAACAUCAACUGGAGGACCGAACCGACUAAUGUUGAAAAAUUAGCGGAUGACUUGUGGCUAGGGGUGAAAGGCCAAUCAAACCUGGAGAUAGCUGGUUCUCCCCGAAAGCUAUUUAGGUAGCGCCUCGGACGAAUACUACUGGGGGUAGAGCACUGUUAAGGCUAGGGGGUCAUCCCGACUUACCAACCCUUUGCAAACUCCGAAUACCAGUAAGUAC